AGGUCUUGCUGAUGAUGAUAAUUAUUAUGCAUUUUGUUGUCUGCCUGGCCACUUUAAAGUGAAUUAUCAGAAAUGGCAGACAGAAGGUGCUGCAGGAAGACACCACUGAGCCUCAACGAUCGCCAUUACUGUCUUCUCCAAGAUCUCUCCGCUCCUCCAAGCACUCCUUCGAUGAUGAUGGAAACUAUCAUAUAAACUAUCUGGCAACCGAGGUCCUGACUUGGAGCCAUUUGUGGUUGGAUCCCCAAUCCAACUACUUUGUCGUGUUACAAAGUUUGGGUGACUUGAUGAUGAUAGAUUCAAAGAGGUGAUGAAAUUUUUAAGCCAGCCCAAUUCUGGAUUGCCUUCUAUGCUUGAACAUAAGAUAGCUAUUUCUUUCAAGGAUCAGUCAGUUUUUCAAGUUUUCCAGUCACUGAUGGUUACCCGAACUUGUUAAUGCUGAUGGCUAUACUGAUUUGAUAUGCUUAAUAGCAGACUUCACAUUAAAAUCUCUUCAUUCCUGGAAGUGGGCUGGCAGUAGUGUUUACCACCAUCUAAGGCUGUGGUCAAGAUUGAUCAUACAUAUACAGUUUUUUGAAGGCUGACACAGCAAACCUGCUGGAUGAAUAUGCGCCCAAGAUUAUAGAAGGUUUCAUUUCUUCAAGAUUUGAUUCUUUGCAGAAAUCUCCACUCAGAUCCAAGAGACCACCUCUCAUGGCAUUUACAAGGUCUGGGUUGGCAUUUACAAUGUUUGCAUAGCGUUUGUGAUCUCCCUUUUUGGCAAGAGAACAAAUGGGACAUUGGGACAGAUGAAGUUUCAGGGACUAAGACAGUUUCGUUGGAGAGAGGCUACGUUAUUUUUCAUAAUGGGUUUUUGCCAGAAUCAUCUUGCCACUGGGGAGACGAUAUGGUAUGUUGGGUUUGGCAUUUGAUUUUGCCAUUACUCUUUCUCUGUGUUGCUUUUAUGAUUAUUCCAAUUAAUUCUUCAAAUUAUAUGAUAAGCAUUGGAAGUGAUGCAUGUCUAAUCUUGCUCAUGCAAAGUAUUUAAUUUCUGAUUGGUUACUAGGAUAAAUGAGUUGAAGGGAUUUGAAAUUUAGAUCUUCAUAAUAUGUUCUUUAGGGGGUCUGUCAUCUCUUCUUAGUUAUCAUAUCACUUGCCCUAAUACCUUUAACCAUGUCAACUGGUGGUUAGAUGAACUCCAGCAUACAUACUUAUAUUUAUUUAUUUUGUUUAUGUUCAUAUUUUUGAUUGAAAAGUGAAUCUUGCGUUUGUGGUUCCUAUCAAAUUGAGAUAGAUGUGUACUUCUUUAGUGUUUUUCUACUCUUCUGCCAAUUGGGUCUUCCUCUAAUACAAAUGGAUAGUGAGUAGGCAGUUUUCACAUUUGAGCAUAAUACUAUUGGAUACUUACCCUUUUGCACAUUCUAAGUCUAAUAGAAAUCUUAACUCUCACAUAUACCAAUUUUACUGUUUAUAUAUUUUGUUAUUAAGCUGUUUGUCUUUCUUACAAAUAAACAAUCGAUAUGAUAUUGAUGGUUUGCUAUUUCAGUAAAGCACUGAGUCAUAGAUUUCAUAUGAAUGCAUGCUAAUUAUUGAAUUAAAUCUCAAAUAAUUGUUGAUGCAUUUGCGUCACUUGGAUUGAAUGUUCAGAGAGGUACAUUUUCGAGGUAUGACUUCUUUGGGUAUAUAUUUUAAAAUUUUGAGAAUACAAUCAUAUUGACAGAUGGGUGAGGAUAUAUUAGUAAGUGCAUUUGUCCAUAGAGAAUGGAUAUUGGAAGCUUCAAGGAGGCUGAAAAUAAUUAUAAAUGAAUCAUUACAAUUCCGUUAGUCAAUUUGUAUUUACGAAUCAUUACAUUUCUAGGUCUUUGAGAAAAUUAUGAUCUAUGUUAAAAGAAGAUGAAGAUUACAAAUAAAUUGAGCAUCCCAUUUUAGAGAGAGGGCCAACACAUAAAUAGCUUCUGAUAAGAAU